rnacentral:lncRNA from 1 species
ACUAUAAUAAUCAAAGUAUAAUAAAUGUAAAUUUAGAUAAAAAAAAUAUCUAUAGUGCUAAUCCAAUUUCUAUGAGGCAUCCAAGUGUCCGCCCUCCAAUAGUAAUCCACAUGAAAAUUAAACCAAAGACUGCACUCCUUCUUCACCUUGCUUCAAGAGUUCUAGCCCCUAGAACUCUACUAGCCCUGUACCGAUCAGAUUUCUCUAAGAACCUAACUCAAUCC